rnacentral:rRNA from 1 species
GAGGAAUAUUGGUCAAUGGACGCAAGUCUGAACCAGCCAUCCCGCGUGCAGGAAGAAGGCCCUAUGGGUUGUAAACUGCUUUUAUACACCAAGAAACCCCUUCUCGUGAGGAGGGCUGACGGUAGUGUAUGAAUAAGCACCGGCUAACUCCGUGCCAGCAGCCGCGGUAAUACGGAGGGUGCAAGCGUUAUCCGGAUUUAUUGGGUUUAAAGGGUGCGUAGGCGGGUCUGUAAGUCAGUGGUGAAAGCCUUCAGCUUAACUGGAGAAUUGCCAUUGAUACUGCUGACCUUGAAUUCGGUUGAAGUGGGCGGAAUGUGUGGUGUAGCGGUGAAAUGCAUAGAUAUCACACAGAACACCGAUUGCGAAGGCAGCUCACUAAGCCGACAUUGACGCUGAGGCACGAAAGCGUGGGGAGCGAAC